GCUGGAACAAGUUGUUAAUCGAGGGACUUAAUUUGGUUUCGCCGGACGAACUCUACGCCGUCAUCAAGAAGCGAAUUGAACGAGUCUUGAUUCGCACAGUCGGAGGUUCCUACCAGCAGCGAAUUCUGACUGAGUACCUUAAGGGCAUCCAGUUGAGAACAGAGGAAGUUGUACAAGCCUUAAGAGGCUCACAAAAAUGAGAUUCUUCAUAUGAGAAUCAUAAUAUAGCCAUGACAAGGAGAAGAAACAGCAAAAAAUUCAGCAUUACUGUGGGAGCAGAACUUGUUCCUGCUGCAAGGUUUUUCAUAUUCGUCGGUCUCACUCAUGUUUUACGAUCUCUAGACCUGGAAGAAAUAUUGCAUCCAAACACCACAGGUGUGGAUUGGUGGUACUCUGGUAGUAUUGUGGUUGUAUUACGGUACAAUACCACCAGAAUACUACCGUAUGUGCUAUUCUGAUGGUAUUCUGAUCGUAUUAUGGCAGGAUUGUUGUGCAACACCAGCAUAAUAUCACCAGAAUACUAAAAGGCCGCCCGCACCUAUCUCAUCCGCACACAAUAUUUUCUACUAGAUCAUUCUCUAUUGCAAGUGCUUUUUCAAGGUUUUGCAUGCUUGCUGCUGAGCAAGAAAAGCUUUAAAAUCAAAGAAAUGAAGUAAAGGUAGCAGAAUUUCUUUCAUUGUCUCGAAAGAUUUGUGUAUGUACCUUGCAUUUCUUAUGUAUUUGCAUGAACUUUUAAUUUUUUCAUUUUAGUACUUUAUUUAUGCAAGAAAAGAUGUAUUCCAUCUUUUAAAAGAUAUUAAUA